rnacentral:rRNA from 1 species
AGAGUUUGAUCCUGGCUCAGAACGAACGCUGGCGGCAGGCCUCAAACAUGCAAGUCUAGGGGGUGUAGCAAUACAUCACCGGCGGACGGGUGCGUAACGCGUGGGAAUAUACCUAUUGGUUCGGAACAACUGCGGGAAACUGCAGCUAAUACCGAAUGUGCCCGAAAGGGGAAAGAUUUAUCGCCAAUGGAUUAGCCCGCGUAGGAUUAGCUAGUUGGUGGGGUAAUGGCCCACCAAGGCUCCGAUCCUUAGCUGUUCUGAGAGGAAGAUCAGCCACACUGGGACUGAGACACGGCCCAGACUCCUACGGGAGGCAGCAGUUGGGAAUCUUGGACAAUGGGGGAAACCCUGAUCCAGCCAUGCCGCGUGAGUGAUGAAGGCCUUCGGGUUGUAAAACUCUUUCGACGGGGACGAUAAUGACGGUACCCGUAGAAGAAGCUCCGGCUAACUUCGUGCCAGCAGCCGCGGUAAUACGAAGGGGGCUAGCGUUGUUCGGAAUUACUGGGCGUAAAGCGCGCGCAGGCGGUUUUCCAAGUCAGUGGUGAAAGCCCGGAGCUCAACUCCGGAACUGCCAUUGAAACUGUUAAACUUGAGGACGAGAGAGGUGAGUGGAAUUCCCAGUGUAGAGGUGAAAUUCGUAGAUAUUGGGAAGAACACCAGUGGCGAAGGCGGCUCACUGGCUCGUAUCUGACGCUCAGGCGCGAUAGCGUGGGGAUCAAACAGGAUUAGAUACCCUAGUAGUCC